CGCAUCCAGUUGCCAUCGGGCGGAGCCGGGCGACUCUGGAGGGACUGCCGGCGACAAGCCGGAGGAAGGUGGGGAUGACGUCAAGUCAUCAUGGCCCUUAUGUCCAGGGCGACACACGUGCUACAAUGGCCGGCACAGCGGGAAGCGGAGGGGCGACCCUGAGCGGAUCCCUUGAAAGCCGGUCCCAGUUCGGAUUGCAGUCUGCAACUCGACUGCAUGAAGUUGGAAUCGCUAGUAAUCGCGGAUCAGCCAAGCCGCGGUGAAUACGUUCCCGGGCCUU
rnacentral:rRNA from 1 species